CAGAAUCCACAUUGAUAGCCCUGGCCACUACAUUGUCCUUUCUUCUCUCAGAUCUAACCUCUCCAAAUGAAGUAUUCUUUCUAGCUUCAGCGUAAUCGAAGGCCUUCAGCUGAUCAUUAAAUUCUGGUUCUUCCGGUGCUUGGUGCUUCUGUUGAAGGUCUCUGCUCUCGUUGAGGGAUCUGAAGCGCUGCUCGAUGCCAGAGGAAAGCUCAGGAGGGGAGCUAGACACAUUGGUGUCUCCAGGAUCCUCGCACAUGAUUUCCGCUUCAGGUUCCGCCGAUUUUGCUACUGGAAGGCUAGUUGCUGGAGGAUUUGCACCACCUGAGAAAUGAUGGAAAGGCAGUACCACGGAAGACUUGAUCUUCUCCACCUUGCUUUUACUCUGCAUUUGUAACACAAGCCAAACAAAGUCAAGCAUUACUAGGGAAAGCUAAUGUGGGAAAGUGCUUUCUGCUGCACCCAAGAAACAGAACAAAGAUAACAUCAUAUAUUGCAGAUUAGUGAGCUUAUAAAGUCCCAUAAUGAAGACAAGUCACCAACCUUUCCACAGUGAGAACUUUGGUACAAAUUUCAAGUAGCAUCUAUACUGAGACAUGGACAUUUACCCCAUGUGGCUAUAUAGAGAGAACAGAGACUGCAAAGGAAAUUCGCAAAAAGAGGAGACUAUUCCAUAUCUUGCCCCUUAAUUACUUGAGUAAAGUGGGAGCUCUUGGUUUA